UACGGAGGGUGCAAGCGUUAAUCGGAAUUACUGGGCGUAAAGCGCGCGUAGGCGGCUACAUAAGUUGGAGGUGAAAUCCCCGGGCUCAACCUGGGAACUGCUUUCAAAACUGUGUAGCUAGAGUGCAGAAGAGGAUAGUGGAAUUUCUAGUGUAGCGGUGAAAUGCGUAGAUAUUAGAAGGAACACCAGUGGCGAAGGCGACUGUCUGGGCUGACACUGACGCUGAGGUGCGAAAGCGUGGGGAUCAAAC
rnacentral:rRNA from 1 species